rnacentral:lncRNA from 1 species
AGAGCAGGGCGCUCUGGGCCUAGCUCAGAGGACAUGCUCCUGAGGCUAGCUAUUUUUCUGCUACUACUCUGGCUAAGAGAGACAUGUAAGGGCUGGAUGUAAACUCCCAGAGGGCACCUCCUGGGCUAGAGAAGAUGCAGCAUGAGCUCAGGAAUUCAACACAACACGAAAUAAUCAACAAAUUCGGGGAAUGUUAAUCUGACCAUCACCAGUUACAAAUGAUGUUUCAUGCUACCUUCUAUUCCUGCCUUCAUAAAUCAAGCUCUAAAUCUCCAGGAAAAAAUGUGCUCAGGAUGGCCAGAGAAAUGUCCUUCCAACUGUGCAUGGAAAGGUAUGAUUUUGUGCAGCAGGUGAAGGACUGGUUAGAGUAAGUGUGUGCUGAGCUUUUGUGUUUGAAAGCGAGCCUGUGCACUUCUAACGAUUGGAAGGUUUCCUUGCCUUCUCCGAUCUUACACACAGCAAGGACAGCAAAGCCUUCCAGACCUGCCUGUGACAUGCACUGCACAUUCUAAAGAUGCCUAUGCAAUGGAAAACACCACUGUCUGCUCCAGCACAGCUGCCAUUCUUCCAUCUUAUCGACCUUAAUGCAACAACUCCUCACAGGCAGAGAUUUUAAAAUGUGUUCUUGGCAGAAGAGAGACUCAAAGAUGGGACAAAUGUGUCAUUUAAAUGCCUGUUAAAAUGGAAACAGACAUAGUAUAGUCAGAGGAUUGUGGCAGCUAAGAACAUAGUCUCUGGAGCAAAUCUGCAUGGGUGGCAAUGCCAAGCACAUGAGGUCCUAGUUGUAUGAACUUAGGAAAAGAAAAAGAGAACAUAUAUCCCCCUACCUUUUGAUUUCCAACAGUCUACUGAGAGGCCAAGAUUAUUUGCAGGGAAAGAAAAGGGGAAUGCCAUCCCCACCCUCUCGCAGCUACGUGCCAGUUCCAGAGCACCUGUUCCCCUCUACUUUGAAAAGGUCAAAAUGUUUUGCCAGUAACUCCCAAAUCAUCUACAGCCAAGGAGAAAAGUGUUUCAAGACAGAGGUGCUCAAUGGUAUCAAAUACUGCCAACAGACCAAGUAAUACAUGCAUUGAAGUGUCUACUGGAUCUAGCUAUAUGAAUUUUUAAUUUAGGACACUUAGGCCAUACUGAAGCAAGGUGACAAAAUGAAUAGCUACAAUGUCUCGUGAAUCUUGGGUUUCCAUUCACCCUGGUAUUCAAGAGAAAUUCUUGCAUCAUGGAAGUUGCAGUUGGAUAGGACUUUCUCAGCUGAACACUGUCAUCUGCCAGAGCUUCAGGCAAGAACCCAGAACAGAUGAAACCCCAGACAUGACAAAAUAAGCCAAAGAAUACCAGGCCAAGGUGUGAAAGGCCAGAUGAGAACAAGCAGCGUACACGAUUCUGUUGCCAACAGAUCUCCCCUAACAGUGUCGUGCACCAAAUUUCCACAGUGAAUGUCAGGAAAAAAUGGCAAUUGAGGUGGGUGGUCAAAAGAGAAGCACAGUCUAUGAUGAAGUCACCCCAGAGAAGUCCUUUUUCCGUUUUCUCCUGAGAAAUUACCAGAAGAAAUUAAAAUCCUUUUGAGUAUUGCA